rnacentral:rRNA from 1 species
CCUACGGGAGGCAGCAGUAGGGAAUUUUCCGCAAUGGGCGAAAGCCUGACGGAGCAAUACCGCGUGAGGGAUGACGGCCUGUGGGUUGUAAACCUCUUUUCUCAAGGAAGAAGUUCUGACGGUACUUGAGGAAUAAGCAUCGGCUAACUCUGUGCCAGCAGCCGCGGUAAUACAGAGGAUGCAAGCGUUAUCCGGAAUCACUGGGCAUAAAGCGUCUGUAGGUUGUUUAGUAAGUCUGCUGUUAAAGACUGGGGCUUAACCCCAGAAAAGCAGUGGAAACUGCUAGACUCGAGUGUGGUAGAGGUAGAGGGAAUUCCUAGUGUAGCGGUGAAAUGCGUAGAUAUUAGGAAGAACACCAAUGGCGAAGGCACUCUACUGGGCCAUAACUGACACUGAGAGACGACAGCUAGGGGAGCAAACGGGAUUAGAUACCCCGGUAGUCCUAGCCGUAAACGAUGGAUACUAGAUGUUGCACGUAUUAACCCGUGCAGUAUCGUAGCUAAGGCGUUAAGUAUCCCGCCUGGGAAGUACGCNCGCAGAGAGAACUUAAAUAGUAAGUUAGACGGCGUGAGACGUGCCGAACGGACGACGACGAGGGAGGUAGG